rnacentral:lncRNA from 1 species
UUAAUGUGUUUUUUAUUCAAUGUCUCCCAUUAAAUAUUUAAAUUUAUUAAUAUACACAUUUUAAUUUAUUUUUUGACCUUUUUUUUUUUUGAAUUUAUUAGUUUUAAUUAGCAUUCUUCAAUCUUGAAAGACUCAAUUAAGGUACCUAAAUGUUAGUAUCGAAAUGUAUUAUAUUGAAUUAAUGUACCAAAAUUUAGUAGCGAAAUGUAUAUGCAACGAAAUGUAAUAUAUUGAAUUAAUGUACCUAAAUGUGUGUAACAAAAUGUAUGCACCAAAAUGUAUUAUAAGUACCUAAAUGUUUGUAUUAAAAUGUAUGUACCAAAAUGUGUAUACCUAAAUGUAUGCACCGAAAUGCAUUAUUAUGAAUUUAAUGUACCAAUAUGAAGAAAACAAAGUACAUCGAAAUAUAUUGUAUAACAAAAAUUAGUUUAUCUAAUGUUUACAACGAAAUAUAUUACGAUGAAUGAAAUAAAAAUUAGAACUAUAAUGAAUUAGGAAGAAAAAGAGAAAUAAUUAAGGCAUCAAAAUAUAAUUAAUAAAUGGGGUGAUUAAUGUGUCAAGGGACUAAAAUAAGAUUUUGAUCUUACUCAUGAUUUUAGUCUAAAAGUCAUCUUUGCUUAGGAUUAAAAUGAAGUUUCCUAAUUUUUAUAUGAAGAGAAAAAAAAACAAAAUGGAAAGUGUAAGAGGAGAGGAAAGAGAAUCCUACUCCCAUUAGAGCACUUCCAGUGUGUAAGGGCUCCUUUUGGCAAUAGGCAAUUCAAUCCCCUCAAGUGAUAGUAAUUACUUUUAGUGAACAGUAAUUGUCUAUUGCAUCUCCAUCCCUAUAUUGAAUAGCCUAGACAAUUCGUAUUAAAAUAUUAGUAUUUUUAUUUUAUAAAAUAAUAAAAAAUAAUUUUAUUUUUAAUUUCGGAUAGGAUUUUUAACCUAUCUCAUCACGCCACGUGUCAUUAUCUGAAAGUACAAUUUUUGUGGAUAGAUUACGAUAAGAUUUUUAAUCAAUUCUGUCGCGCG